GGAAGAUUGGCAGAGAGGCUUAAUGCGCUUGGUUGCUAACCAAGAGGCGGUGAAAACUUCCCGUAGGUUCGAAUCCUACAUCUUCCG
rnacentral:tRNA from 1 species